GAAGAUUCGAGUGAUGUGCUCUAAUGGUACACUAUCUGCAGCAUUUUUCUUCAGCUCGGGAUGGUUAAAUUCACUGCUGGGAAGGACAAUGAGUUGGCCCUUACCAUGCCCCUUCUCUAUGCUCCAUCCACAGGUGGCCAUCUGCUGCUCAAGGAAUUUGUCCAACGAAAGACCUUCAAUGUUGAUGGCCUCAGCCAGCACAGACCGGGGAACCUU
rnacentral:misc_RNA from 1 species